GCCUCUGCUUGACUCUCCCUCCCGUAGCCGAGUCCGGUAGAGGACUGGAAACUCCCCCGGUGUGACCCUGAGGGGGAUGUGGGAGGGUACCGUGGUUAAAUCUGAUCUCUGCCCUUAAGGAGUCUGCUUAGGGUCUCGGGGCCGGGGGCUGCAUUCCGGGAGGCCCGGGGGGCGGAGGGGCGUCCGAGUUCCCCCAGGAAGGGUCUCGCCGAGCCCGGCUUUUCCCACCCCCCACCCGUGAUCGGCCACACGCUUCUCCCCUUGAAGCGCGUCAGCCACGUAGCCGGGAGAAGACGGGGAAGUGUCCCCCGGACCGGUCAUUAGGACCGCAUCAUCGCCUUCCUUUAAGUGCCGCCUCUUUAACCACGAAGGCCUCCCUUUCCCAGCUCGUUGGCUUCUCCGCCUCACGAUGAAAAGCAGCGCCACCGUGACUCACGAGAUCCAAAGGAAGUGCGAGGUAGGCGGAGAGGAGAGCCGGGGCCCCUCGGAGGAAACGCGACUGGCCGAACUCUGCCCUCUGCCCUCGAGUACUGCUGCGACGAUCCCAUCCUACCGGCCUCUUGCCCUCUCUGAUGUGGUCGCAACCCGGGCCGGGCCCCAGAGGCAACCUGGGGGUGAACCGGGAGCUGAUGGUCAUUUAAAAAUUUUUUAAAAAUGG